AGAGUUUGAUCAUGGCUCAGGACGAACGCUGGCGGCGUGCUUAAUACAUGCAAGUCGAGCGAGGUUACUGUUUUGGAUCCCUUCGGGGUGAAGAAGCUUUAACCUAGCGGCGGACGGGUGAGUAACGCGUGGGUAACCUACCCCAAAGUCCGGGAUAACAGCGGGAAACCGCUGCUAAUACCGGAUGUCUUUACCUUGGGGCAUCUUGAGGUAAAGAAAGGUAACGCUUUGGGAUGGGCCCGCGUCCCAUUAGCUAGUUGGUGAGGUAACGGCUCACCAAGGCGACGAUGGGUAGCCGGCCUGAGAGGGUGGACGGCCACACUGGGACUGAGACACGGCCCAGACUCCUACGGGAGGCAGCAGUAGGGAAUAUUGCGCAAUGGACGGAAGUCUGACGCAGCGACGCCGCGUGAGCGAUGAAGGUCUUCGGAUCGUAAAGCUCUGUCCUUGGGGAAGAAGGCGAAAGCUUGACGGUACCCAAGAAGAAAGCCCCGGCUAACUACGUGCCAGCAGCCGCGGUAAUACGUAGGGGGCGAGCGUUGUCCGGAAUUACUGGGCGUAAAGGGUGCGUAGGCGGCCCUUUAAGUCGGAUGUGAAAGCCCGCGGCUUAACCGCGGAAUGGCAUUCGAAACUGGAGGGCUUGAGUGUCGGAGAGGGUAGUGGAAUUCCCAGUGUAGCGGUGAAAUGCGUAGAUAUUGGGAGGAACACCAGUGGCGAAGGCGACUACCUGGACGAUAACUGACGCUGAGGCACGAAAGCUAGGGGAGCAAACAGGAUUAGAUACCCUGGUAGUCCUAGCCGUAAACGAUGGGUACUAGGUGUGGGUGGUUUCGAUACCAUCCGUGCCGUAGUUAACGCAUUAAGUACCCCGCCUGGGGAGUACGUGCGCAAGCAUGAAACUCAAAGGAAUUGACGG
rnacentral:rRNA from 1 species